UGCAAAAUGGUGCUUUAUUAAAGCAUGGGGACAGGACCCGUGGGCAGGAAGAGCUGCUGCUGCCCAGGGCCUGUGAGGAGUGGCUGGUUAUAUACACAGGAGUUGGGUAGGUGAGAACAAAGGGGUGUUCAGAAGGGCUGAAAGGCCUGGACAAACUUUACUCCACCUGAAAGUUGUUUACUCCACCCGAAAGUUGUUUGCGCCCGAAAGUGUUAUCAACGGGCAACUUCUGCUUCUGUAAAAGUGCUUGCUCAACACGCGGGCUAACUAGCUACUUUCGCUUCUGUUUGAAUGCUUGCUUGAUGGCGCGCCCGGGCUCCCAAUACCAAUCAACCAACACCAGGUAUGAUUUUUUAAAUUUGUUUGUACCCCACCCAAAACUUGUUUGUACCUGCUUAUAAAAACCUGCACUUACUCUGUCUGAGACCUCUCAGCGUCACUGGCAACGAGUGCGUGGAGGUCCGGGUUCGAACUCGUAAUAAACGACCCUUGCUGUUUGGCUUUGACUUGCGUCUCUGGUGGUCUUUUAAGCCACUGAAGAUCUUCCAUAAUGUCUUCUGAGAAUCCUGGCCAAUGAAGACAUCUAAAGUCCUGAAUGUCAAUGAUGCAAAUACCUCUGGGAGGGAGAUUCCAAAGGUCUUACAGGAGUAUACGGUUACUUCAUUGAGAAUCUAAAACUGCCAGUGAGGGCGUCUCAGUUGGAUUUUGGUGAACCUCCAGAAUUAUUGAAUGUCAGCACCUGAGAUCACACAGCUGGUUUUCAGUCCAAGAACUUCCCAAGUGACUGCAGCCAUCUCGUGCUCUGUGAGGGCAGUCCUGGGUCUAUCUCAUUUACUGUUGAGUCACCAAUGCCCAUCAACACUUGAUGAAGGAAUUAACAAAAUGCCCACUCAUGUGCCAGGCUCUGUGAAGGAUGAAGAGGAACCCACCAUACCCAACAAUAAAGAAACUCACAGAGAAAUUAAUCAUUCUGUCAUUAUUAUGGAUUUUCCAGUUUCCCUCUGUAGUUCUAUGGUUUAGCUAUCACUUUCCUAUCAUCCCCAAACAAGCAACCUCUAGUGUACUUUAUGUACCUAUAGAUUGACCUUUCCGAACAUUUCAUAUAAAUGGAAUCAUGUAAUAUGUGAUCUUUUGUGAUUGCCUUCUUUCACUUAUCAUGUUUUUAUGUUCAGCCAUACAAAGCACAUAUGAGCACUUUAUUCCUUGCUAUGGAUGAAUAAUAUUCCAAUAAAUAGAUAUAUCAUAUUUUGUUUAUACAUUCAUCUGUCAAUGGACACUAGGAUUAUUUCUACUUUUGACUACUAUGAAUAAUGCUGCCAUUCAUAUUUGUGUAUAGUUUUGAAUAGAUAAUGUGUUUUCAGUUCUCUCAGGUGGAUACCUAGGAGUGGAUCAAAUGGUAACUCUUUGUUUACCAUAUUCUUGCUAUCUUGAUUUUGCUUUUUCUUUUCCAAGUUAUCAGUUUC
rnacentral:lncRNA from 1 species